rnacentral:lncRNA from 1 species
UUAAAAUUUAUAUUUUGUAAAAUACAAAAUUUAAAAUUUAAAAUUUGAAAUGUUUAAUUUUAAAUUUUAAACUUUGAUAUUUUAAAUUUUUUAUUUAGAAUUUGAUAUUUUGUAUUUUUAAAUUAAAAUUUCAUCUUAAGUUUAAAGUUUAAAAUUUAAAAUUUAAAAUUUUUUUAAAUUAUAAAUUUGAGAUUUUAAAAUUUUAAAUUUUAAUUUUGAAUUUUAAAAUUUAAAAGUUUAUAUUUUAAAUUUUAAAAUAUAAAUAUAAAAUAUAAAAAUUUAAAUUCUAAUAUAAAGAAAAGAAUAAUAUUAUUAUUUUUUAUUUAUAACUACUCACUUUAAUUCUUAUUCCAUCUUAUCUAACCAAACGCUAUUUUUCUUAUUUCCAGGAAUAACCUAAUUUUCAUUUGUCUUUGAUCUAAUCAUGGCUUAUACCUUAAUUUAUACCUAUAUCUCAAACCAAACGAUACGUAAGGCUUCAUUUGAUUCGAAAAUUAGUAGGAACUAGUUGUACCGGGGAUAGGUAUAAGUAUGAGUUUUUAUAAGAAUAAGGAUAUUUUUUUAUUUGGAUUAAAAAUAUGAGCAUAAGCUGGAACUAGAAAAAUUGUGUUUGAAUGGUUAUUGGGAAUAAGAGAAAUAGUUGAUGUUUAUAAAUAGAAAAUAAUGAUAUUACCCCUAUAAUUGAAUUUAAAUUUUAAACUUAUAAUUUUAAAUUAAAAAUUUUAACUUUUAAUUUAUAAAUUUUAAAAUUUAAAUUUUAAAUUUGAGACCAAAUUUAAAUUUGAAAUAUAUAAAAUAUCAAAUUUAAAAUUUAUAAAUUUAUAAUAUCAAAUUUAAAUUUUAAACUUUAAAAUUACAUUUUAUAAUUUUAAAUUCUAAUUUUAAAAUUAUAAAAUUUAAAUUCUAAAUUUUAAAAUAAAAUUCUCUCUCUCCCCAGUAGGUGGGAACAAGCUUGAGUGUAAACUAUUAUUUCCACCUU